UGGAUGUCACUCAUAUUUCCUCCUUUGGGU
rnacentral:piRNA from 1 species